rnacentral:rRNA from 1 species
CGGGACGGGGUGGAGUAAUGUCUGGGAAACUGCCUGAUGGAGGGGGGUAACUACUGGAAGCGGUAGCUAAUACCGCAUAACGUCGCAAGACCAAAGAGGGGGACCUUAGGGCCUCUUGCCAUCGGAUGUGCCCAGAUGGGAUUAGCUAGUAGGUGGGGUAACGGCUCACCUAGGCGACGAUCCCUAGCUGGUCUGAGAGGAUGACCAGCCACACUGGAACUGAGACACGGUCCAG